rnacentral:rRNA from 1 species
UGAGGAAUAUUGCUCAAUGGGCGAAAGCCUGAAGCAGCAACGCCGCGUGCGCGAUGAAGGCCUUCGGGUCGUAAAGCGCUUUUGAGAGGGACGAGAUAGGACGGUACCUCUGGAAUAAGUCACGGCUAACUACGUGCCAGCAGCCGCGGUAAAACGUAGGUGGCAAGCGUUAUCCGGAUUCACUGGGCGUAAAGCGCGUGCAGGUGGCUUCGUAAGUUGGACGUUAAAUCUCCCGGCCUAACCGGGAGGAGUCGUUCAAUACUGCGGGGCUGGAGGGCAGAAGAGGGGGGUGGAAUUGCUGGUGUAGUGGUGAAAUGCGUAGAUAUCGGGAGGAACACCAGUGGCGAAGGCGAUCUUCUGGUCUGUUUCUGACGCUCAGACGCGACAGCUAGGGUAGUAAACGGGAUUAGAGACCCCGGUAAUCCUAGCCGUAAACGAUGUGAACUUGGCGUUGGUGGCUUAAACACCAUCAGUGCCGAAGCAAACGCGAUAAGUUCACCGCCUGGGGACUACGGCCGCAAGGUUA